GCUCCGGGCCCACCCCCACGCCCUGCGGGGACAGGGGCGCCGCGUGCUGUCUCCGCUGCGCUGCAGGAGGCGCAGUGAGCUUCUGGUCUUCUCAGAACCGCGCCCAGCCACCCGAUCGCGGGAAGCACGGCCCGCCCCGCUCAGAUUUCGGUUCAGGUCCACACACAAUGAGUGCCAUAAUCCGUAGUCCGCACGCACCGACUCCGGUUGGAAGGUUUGGGAGAGGCUACUGCAAGGCUCUUGAGCUUACUCAUGCCUACUAUAUCCGCGUGGUGGAAAUACUACAAUACGAUGUGCUCCUGUGCAUCUCUUUCCGGCUCUGCAUGCGGUGGCCUCACGUUGGUGGCUUAAAAUAGGCCAUGGUGGGAGUACUGACACCACGGAAACCAGCAAAUGCUACAAACCAGGGCAAGGUUUUCAGAGAGCUGGUUGUUAAAUAUCAGCACACCGCCGCCUACAGCAAAAUCUCUGACAAUGAAGGGUGACCCUGGGCCUCCACCUCUUCGCUGGUCAAGGCCUUCUUAUAGCUUCAUCUCUGUUCUGACAGCAGCGCCGCAGGAAGGGGAGAAGGUCAUCAGUAGCCUGUCCUGAGAGCCAGGCUGCAGCCUCUGGAUGGCCUUUGGAGGCACAGUGACUGUGUCCACCAGGCAGUGGGAGGGGACAUAUUCAUUCAUAAUCUGAACUCCCAUGCUGACGCCAGCUGGGUUUAGGAUCAAUGUUUCUUUCCCAUUUGCCUCAUAGGAAUCACCUGGAGAAUUCUCUUUCCGUAGAUGGAGGCUGGGGUCCCUGAGAUCUGAAUUUCAGAAAGCUCAGGGGGAAUGUUCCUGGGAAAUACUGGGCAAAUGAAAGGAGCACUUUUGGGAUUCAAACCUCUGCUUUGCCACUUUUUGUCUAGGUGACCUUGGGCAAGUCACUGAAACUCAUGGAGACUUGGUUUCUUUCUGUAUAGAGGGGGAAAAAUAAAAGCUACUUUGUUUUCAUUGUACUUUUUUAUAAUAUCAA